GACGAACGCUGGCGGCGUGCUUAACACAUGCAAGUCGAACGGAAAGGCCCUGCUUUUGUGGGGUGCUCGAGUGGCGAACGGGUGAGUAACACGUGAGUAACCUGCCCUUGACUUUGGGAUAACUUCAGGAAACUGGGGCUAAUACCGGAUAGGAGCUCCUGCUGCAUGGUGGGGGUUAGAAAGUUUCGGCGGUUGGGGAUGGACUCGCGGCUUAUCAGCUUGUUGGUGGGGUAGUGGCUUACCAAGGCUUUGACGGGUAGCCGGCCUGAGAGGGUGACCGGCCACAUUGGGACUGAGAUACGGCCCAGACUCCUACGGGAGGCAGCAGUAAGGAAUAUGGCACAAGGGGCGGAAGCCUGAUGCAGCAACGCCGCGUGCGGGAUGACGGCCUUCGGGUGGGAAACCGCUUUCGCCUGUGACGAAGCGUGAGGGACGGGAAUGGGUAAAGAAGCACCGGCGAACUACGU
rnacentral:rRNA from 1 species